rnacentral:lncRNA from 1 species
CGAAAGUGAAUCUAUAUUGCACAACUGAUAAUACACCAAACAUAAUAUUCAACGGCAAUAUUUGUUCCAUGAUGGGUUAACUAAUAAAGCAAGAAAAAUCAAAAGAAAUAUGUAGCGUAUAUAAAUGAUACAAAAGAUUGAUACAAAAUCAAUGGAUUGGCUGAUCUGAGCCUCCCAUGCCUAUAUCUUCAAUAGCAGAAGAUGCUAAACCUUGAAUAUAAUUUUUGAAAUGCAAAUCAAUGCAUAAUAUAGCAGGUAAAAGGAGUUAAUGAUAGAUGCAAAAUUUGAGAACUUACGUCUAGGACAAGGCAAAAGGCAUCUGCGAUUGCGAUAACCUUAAAAUCGCUUAAUGAACUUGAAAAAAUGAAUUGAAUGUCUUGUUUCGGUUACUCAUCUUGCCUUCCUGUAAGAUCUUAUAGAAACAAAAUUACUAAAUGUCUAAAUAGGUUUCCACAUCUAACAAUCAGUGGCAUCUAGCAGUGAAAAUCAUCAUUCAGUGACAUCUACUAAAAAACAAAACAAAGGCAUCAAGGCAUCAAGGCAUUAAGCAAUACCUCUCUGCUCUGCUCAGUAUUGCGGCUCAGCUCCUGGCAAACCAGCACCUCGCCGGACGCCAGGAAGAAGGGAUCGAGCACCUCGCGGAGGCCAAGCCUCGCCGGAGUCGCCGCCACCGCGCCUCGCCGGACGCCAGGAAGAAGGGAUCGAGCACCUCGCGGACGCCAAGCCUCGCCGGAGUCGCCGCCUCCACGCCUCGCCGGACGGAGCAGCAGCGCGCAGCGCGGCAGUGGCGCAACCUGACGCCCGCAUGACCGCAGAAGGGAUCGAAGGGGCGGGCAACGGACCGGGAGGGCAGGGACGGCUGGUCCUGGUCGCCUAGGGUUUG